AUCAUCUUGAGCUUGGCUGAGAGUAGCAUCAUUACUGCACUGAGUCCAGGCAAUAACUUCAAAUUCCUGUGGUGGAUAUAGAUUUUGCUCAAGAAAACAACAGCCAGUCACAAGGUGCAUUGGAAAGGCAACAUCCUGUUCUUGAGAAGCUUGAAUUGAUGGUCACACCUGAAACAUCAAAGGCUUUAGAAGCUGAAUCAAAUCCACUGUAUUCUAACAACAUCCCCUUUGGCUUACCCAGAUGAGAAUCAUCAGGGGAAAGUUUUCCUAAUGCAAUAGCCAUUUAAUGUAUGGCUCUAAGAGAGUGAAACUAGAGGUUGCCAGCAAUAUGAUUUGUGUAAGGAAAGCAAGGAGAGCAGGUAGCACAGAUGCUCCUGAGGUCAUGCUCAGAAAUAUACAGCAAACUGUUAAUUGCCCUUGCCAAGAAUGGAUUAAAUUCUUCCAGGUUUUUCCAAAAAGAGAACUUGUUCAUAGUAUUUUCAGAUCUUGUCCCUUCUGAGAACUAUCACCAUAAGAGUUAAGACAUCCCUUCAAAGAUGGUAGGGGUCACAUACUCAAAUUAGCAUUAAUAUUGCAUUUAUGCUGUGUAUAUUGAGAGUGAUCUUCCAGUAAAUGAAAUGUUCCACUGAAACCUUCAUGUGUGAAAAGAAGGUAGACUUCACCAUAUCCCCUUGCCUCUUAAAAUCUGUGAUUUAUGGACCCUACAGCCCCAUUAAUGUUAUUUUCAGGAUUAAAUGUGGAAAGAAAGAAUAUUAUUAAGAAAGAGAUUUUAAACAGCAGUUGUGUGUCAUAAGUGGAUCUUGUUGACUAUUGCAUCCCUUCCUAUUAUCACAUCAAUACUACUUGGAAGAUAACAUAUGGCAUAGAGGUAAAUGAAUCACAAGUUAUAUGCAGUCCAGCUGUGUAUGUGCCAUUUGUCUUCAUAUGUGGUUAAAAAUAAAUUCCUGAUCAGAUUUAAGCUUUAUAGAGAAAUAUGUUUACCUGUGUCCCAGAUGCCUACAAUAUCUAUUUUGCAUCUGAAAACAUACACAAUAUUUUUCUUGGUAGGAAGUAGGGUUGGAAGACUAAUUUAAUAAGAAGUCUGGAGAAGUGAGUUAAUUUAAAUUGAAAAUAAAAAUUGAUAACAUUAGUUAUUAGAAUUCUUACACUAAAGUUGACAGAAUAUAUCUCAUAAUUUAAUAAGCACUAGAAAAUAAAUCUAUUUAUUGCUCUUUAAAUAACCAACAGAAGUAAUAUGAUUUAAGAAGAA
ensembl:lncRNA